rnacentral:rRNA from 1 species
AUUGAACGCUGGCGGUAGGCCUAACACAUGCAAGUCGAACGGCAGCACAGUAAGAGCUUGCUCUUACGGGUGGCGAGUGGCGGACGGUUGAGGAAUACAUCGGAAUCUACUUUUUCGUGGGUGAUAACGUAGGGAAACUUACGCUAAUACCGCAUACGGCCUACGGGUGAAAGCAUGGGAUCUUCGGACCUUGCGCGAUUGAAUGAGCCGAUGUCGGAUUAGCUAGUUGGCGGGGUAAAGGCCCACCAAGGCGACGAUCCGUAGCUGGUCUGAGAGGAUGAUCAGCCACACUGGAACUGAGACACGGUCCAGACUCCUACGGGAGGCAGCAGUGGGGAAUAUUGGACAAUGGGCGAAAGCCUGAUCCAGCCAUACCGCGUGGGUGAAGAAGGCCUUCGGGUUGUAAAGCCCUUUUGUUGGGAAAGAAGAGCAGCAGGUUAAUACCCCGCUGUUCUGACGGUACCAAAAGAAUAAGCACCGGCUAACUUCGUG